UAUAAAUGUGUGUUAUGUUUUUGCUUACCGUAUCUUAAACUCAACAAUCAGAGGAGCUUCCCGAACUCCGCGUUCCCACCCGAAGGUUGUGUUAUGUGUUCGGGGAGUCUGAUACCAGACGGAAGGAAUAUGUCAACUUGUCCUUAGUUCCACUUCUCCUUUGUUGUUGUGUGUGUGUGUGUGUUCAACUUUCAAUAAAAGGCUGGACCAAAGGGGUGCUCGAUGGAAUGUCUUGGAGGUCGUCGUGUUCAGAGCAUAGGCGACUGAGCUUCCCCUUUGGCCAAAGCUUUGGUCAAAGAUACUACGUUGUCUGUGAUUCAUUUCUCGCCUCCUUGACCGUGAUAGAGAGGAAAAAACCUAUCAUAACUUGGUGCCGUGACCCGGAUCCCAACAUACCCAUCGUCUGGAUUUUUCUUUUUUCCCUGCGGAGCCACUGACACCUGUGCAGGGCCUCUGCAGAGAGGAAAUCCAGUCGUGGAUUGACGGGAUCCGGCGGAUCGGAAGACAGAGGGAGAAAUGACCCAGACAAAGUCAGCGACUGGGUCUGCAUCCGCGUCAUCAAGAAAAAGACGUGGAGCGACGCCGCUGGGAGGGACCAUUCCAAGUCCUUCUGACGACUGCAACCGCUGUAAAGAUAGCCGAGAGGACCACCUGGAUACAUCUUUCCCAUUGCAAACUGUUCCCUACAGAAAUCCCGGACCAGUGCCCUGAUCCCGAGACGACCACGAGCAGAGGGGAAGACUGACUUCAAAGGGGGCUGUCCGCGUAAAAGACAGCCAUCUCAACGUCAGUGAAGAAACCAACAAUCCCUGCUCUUAGGUGUCGCCUCGGGUGAUGGAGCGAGAGGUCCCGAGGAACUCAAACGAGAGGAGCAAUCAGUACUCUAGCAUCGGUGUCUGGGCUCACCUCACGGAUGGAGCCCAUUGAAACGACCGCGUACAUUCAUAUGUAUGAUGACAUGGGAAGACCUGUCAAUGCUCCCGUUUAAGAAAAUAUAACGUAAACUUUUGGUUUAAGCUUGUAUGACAUAAUUGUGUAAAACUCCUCACAAGGAACGGACAAUUAUUGAUGUGAAGCUGCUGACUAAAAAGUUUAAUUCCCAAAGAGAUUGGUGUGGUGUUACUAACAAAUUAUGUGUAAGAAAAAAAGAGAAUAAUCAUGAUUCUGCUUGGACUGCUUAACCCAAAUACGUAAAUCACAUGCUGCUUAGAAAUUAGACAAAUAAAAUGAGUGCCCUUAUUGACCAUGUUUAAAUAAUAAGCAAUAGCAUAAACAGGAGGGAACUGACAGAGAUAUAAAUGUGUGUUAUGUUUUUGCUUACCGUAUCUUAAACUCAACAAUCAGAGGAGCUUCCCGAACUCCGCGUUCCCACCCGAAGGUUGUGUUAUGUGUUCGGGGAGUCUGAUACCAGACGGAAAGAAUGUGUCAACUUGUCCGAAGGUUGUGUUAUGUGUUCGGGGAGUCUGAUACCAGACGGAAGGAAUAUGUCAACUUGUCCUUAGUUCCACUUCUCCUUUGUUGUUGUGUGUGUGUGUGUGUUCAACUUUCAAUAAAAGGCUGGACCAAAGGGGUGCUCGAUGGAAUGUCUUGGAGGUCGUCGUGUUCAGAGCAUAGGCGACUGAGCUUCCCCUUUGGCCAAAGCUUUGGUCAAAGAUA